rnacentral:rRNA from 1 species
CCUACGGGUGGCUGCAGUGGGGAAUAUUGGACAAUGGGGGCAACCCUGAUCCAGCCAUGCCGCGUGUGUGAAGAAGGCCUUCGGGUUGUAAAGCACUUUAAGUGGGGAGGAAGGCUCGCUGGUUAAUAGUCAGCGGGAGUGACGUUACCCACAGAAUAAGCACCGGCAAACUCCGUGCCAGCAGCCGCGGUAAUACGGAGGGUGCGAGCUGUAAUCGGAAUUAACGGGGGUAAAGCGUAAGUAGGGGGGUGAAAUCCCUGGGCUCAACCUGGGAGCUGCAUUCGAUACUGGCAGACUUGAAUACGGUAGAGGGGGGUGGAAUUCCAGGUGUAGCGGUGAAAUGCGUAGAGAUCUGGAGGAACACCAGUGGCGAAGGCGGCCCCCUGGACCGAUAUUGACGCUGAGGUGCGAAAGCGUGGGGAGCAAACAGGAUUAGAUACCCUUGUAGUC